CACCUACGGGAGGCAGCAGUGGGGAAUUUUGGACAAUGGGGGAAACCCUGAUCCAGCCAUGCCGCGUGAGAGAAGAAGGCCUUCGGGUUGUAAAGCUCUUUCAGCCGGAACGAAAUGGUCACGGUUAAUACCCGUGACAAAUGACGGUACCGGAAGAAGAAGCACCGGCUAACUACGUGCCAGCAGCCGCGGUAAUACGUAGGGUGCGAGCGUUAAUCGGAAUUACUGGGCGUAAAGCGUGCGCAGGCGGUUUUGUAAGUCAGAUGUGAAAUCCCCGGGCUUAACCUGGGAACUGCGUUUGAAACUACAAGGCUAGGGUGUGGCAGAGGGGGGUGGAAUUCCACGUGUAGCAGUGAAAUGCGUAGAGAUGUGGAGGAACACCGAUGGCGAAGGCAGCCCCCUGGGUUAACACUGACGCUCAGGCACGAAAGCGUGGGGAGCAAACAGGAUUAGAUACCCUGGUAGUCCACGCCCUAAACGAUGUCAACUAGUUGUCGGGUCUUAACGGGCUUGGUAACGCAGCUAACGCGUGAAGUGACC
rnacentral:rRNA from 1 species